GGAUGGUAUUCCUGGCUGGCUAGCUGGCUGAAGGGACUGCAGUAUCUCAGACAGAGCAGUUGUUGGCAGGGACUGGGGGAGCAGAGAAGAAGCUCUUGUCUGGCUGCUGGGAUUGAGCCCAAGACUUCAGCCCUACGCGUCCCCCAAGAGUGCUCAGGAAAGUGGGCUGUAAUUUGAAGCAAGGCCUGCUGGCUGCUAGUGAGUAAUUCAAGAGGACCAUCUGCAUCGCGGCUCACCACCUAGAAUAACACUGUGAACAGCCUUGGCAGACUAACAUUACCAGA